UACGUAGGGUCCCGAGCGUUGUCCGGAAUUACUGGGCGUAAAGAGCUUGUAGGCGGUUCGUCGCGUCGUUUGUGAAAACUUGGGCGUCAACCUUAAGCUUGCAGGCGAUACGGGCGGACUAGAGUACUUCAGGGGAGACUGGAAUUCCUGGUGUAGCGGUGAAAUGCGCAGAUAUCAGGAGGAACACCGGUGGCGAAGGCGGGUCUCUGGGAAGUAACUGACGCUGAGAAGCGAAAGCAUGGGUAGCAAACAGGAUUAGAAACCCCCGGUACGU
rnacentral:rRNA from 1 species